rnacentral:rRNA from 1 species
AUGGGCGCCGUCUCCGCGACGGCGGACGUCGUGGUGGCGCUCUUCUCGCUGAUCAUGGCGGUGGCGGCCCCGCUGUUCGACUCCCAGAUCGUGCUCCCGCGCGGCCUCCACCCGGCGCCGCUCGUGGACAUCCACCGCUGGUUCACCGUCGCGUUCGGCCACUACCUCGUCGCCGACCCGCCGCCUUUCUUCCUCGGCCUCGUCUGGCUCGACCUCGCCUUCCUGUGGCCCGUCUGCGUCGCCAACCUCUACGGCAUCCUCGCGCGCCGCCGCUGGUCGGCGGCCACCUCGCUCAUGGCGGGCGUCUACAUGCUCACCUACUUGUCCGCGAUACUCGGCGACAUGUUGGGCUCAGGGAAAACAACGCCGAGGCUGCUCAUGCUCAGCGCCGUUAACUGCUGCAACAUCGGCUGCAUCUUCAGCUCAGAAGAAGAAAGCCUAGAUUGA